rnacentral:rRNA from 1 species
UGGGGAAUAUUGCACAAUGGAAGGAACUCUGAUGCAGCGACGCCGCGUGAACGAAGAAGGCUUUCGAGUCGUAAAGUUCUUUUAUAUGGGAAGAUAAUGACGGUACCAUAAGAAAAAGCCCCGGCUAACUACGUGCCAGCAGCCGCGGUAAUACGUAGGGGGCUAGCGUUGUCCGGAAUCACUGGGCGUAAAGGGUUCGCAGGCGGAAAUGCAAGUCAGGUGUAAAAGGCAGUAGCUUAACUACUGUAAGCAUUUGAAACUGCAUAUCUUGAGAAGAGUAGAGGUAAGUGGAAUUUUUAGUGUAGCGGUGAAAUGCGUAGAUAUUAAAAAGAAUACCGGUGGCGAAGGCGACUUACUGGGCUCAUUCUGACGCUGAGGAACGAAAGCGUGGGUAGCAAACAGG